GACGAACGCUGGCGGCGUGCUUAACACAUGCAAGUCGAACGGAAAGACCCUGCUUUUGUGGGGUGCUCGAGUGGCGAACGGGUGAGUAACACGUGAGUAACCUGCCCUUGACUUUGGGAUAACUUCAGGAAACUGGGGCUAAUACCGGAUAGGAGCUCCUGCUGCAUGGUGGGGGUUGGAAAGUUUCGGCGGUUGGGGAUGGACUCGCGGCUUAUCAGCUUGUUGGAGGGGUAGUGGCUUACCAAGGCUUUGACGGGUAGCCGGCCUGAGAGGGUGACCGGCCACAUUGGGACUGAGAUACGGCCCAGACUCCUACGGGAGGCAGCAGUGGGGAAUAUUGCACAAUGGGCGGAAGCCUGAUGCAGCAACGCCGCGUGCGGGAUGAAGGCCUUCGGGUUGUAAACCGCUGUAGCCUGUGACGAAGCGUGAGUGACGGUAAUGGGUAAAGAAGCACCGGCUAACUACGUG
rnacentral:rRNA from 1 species